rnacentral:lncRNA from 1 species
AGCAUGAGCCUCAACACUUGGCCAGCAAGUAAAGAAAAAAAGAAUUGAGUUUAUGGAAAUAAACCCAAUCCCUAUUCUUUUGCCUUAGAAGCCAUCAGCGUGUUUCCAACAAGGAUAAAGGACUUUUGCUGAGGACAGUUGCAGGCUGCUGUGUGUUGCUUUGCUGCCAGAUUGAACAGUUCCUCAGGAAAGCACUUGGCCCCAGAGGCAAGACCAAAGUGAUGCUUUGCAGUCCCUGGUGUGAGCUGGAAGUGGCUGGCACAGGGAGGACUUCCAUAAAAAACAAAACCACGACAGUCAGGGUUUGUCAUGAGCACAGUGCAGCCACCUGCAAGAAUCUCCAGAAGAUGAAAAGCUGGUGCAUGACUAGAGGAUCCUUUCAUGAAAUGCAAGCAAAAUUAAUAGGUGGAUUUUGUUUUGAGCUUUUGAAACAUUUCAAAAUUCCCAGUUCUGACAAAAUUUCAAAUGGAAGUUUCAGAUGUCUCCUCCUCACUUAUGUUUCUCUUCAGUCUUCUCUCCCUCUUACACCAUGGUUUUUAGUGUUAUUAACAUGUAAAUUAGUCUUAUUUACAGAAAAUAACAUCUUGACAAGUUGACAAGUGUUGUGUAUGACAAGAGUUUGGUCUGGGAGGCGUUUCUGUUUCUACAGUUGCUAUUGUUCCCUGGGAUGGAAAUGUAGCUGUGCACACAGCGGUGGUCUGGGUGCUUACGCUGCAUUUAGCCCCAGUUCACUUGGAAAUAUACAGCUGGGAUACCGUGCUGGGUGCAGUCAUCGGUGUCUGUGCAGGGUCUCUCCAGGUCCUACCAAAGGCAGCAGAUGAUUUGCUUUGUUGCUGCUACUGAAAUCAGGUUUGGACCUGCAUGUUGCAUAGCAACCCUAAAUUAUUAUAAGAACCCUCAAAAGGGUAUUAAUGCUACUCAUGAAUAAAUACAGUUUGUCUCAUGCCUGUUUAUGAAUU